rnacentral:lncRNA from 1 species
AUGCCUUGUUCUACCAACAGAGAUAUUCUCACACCACAACUACGAAUUUUAUUAUUUUGCUACUGCUUUUCAGAGGAGAAUUGUGAUGAGAACCUUGUGCAGCCUUUACAUUUCAUAUGUCACAACAACUCACGUAACAAGUCUGGUUUUAAAGCCAGUGGCCAGUGGGAACAAUUGACUGAACACUUCUUCCAAAACUCCAUGAAAGCCACCAGCCCUAUCCAUGGAGAAGGAGAGAGCAGACACGCCCUUCCAGACCUAUUGAUUACAGCUGAUUGAUACUUGUAAGAUCUCUUCUGAGACAUAACACUGUUUUGGUCAUCCACAAAUAUGUUUGGAAGCUGUGAAUUGUCUGAAUUUUCUGCACUGUAAAUGAAUACAUUCAUAAGUAUCAAUGUACAUGACGUAUUAUCUUCACAUUUACUUUUUCCUAUGCUGACUUUUGGAAAAAAAAAAAAAAUCUAACAAGGAAGUAUCUGACAAAAGUUGCACUGCUAAAAUGAAAGAGUUUAGUUUCCCAAGAUCUUACACUGAACGCCUACCACAUAGACUCAUUGGGAUCAAAGUACCAGGAGUGAAAUCCUUUCUUCUAAAACUUUACAUGAUUUAUUUUUCUAAUGCUAUGAAUGCAAAUAAGAUCUGAAACACUUGUUGAAAUAAGCUCUGAUGAAACAGAUCUCUGUACAGAAGUAGAAAAGGUGACUGGAGGUAAGCGAUAUUUUGGAAUCGAACAGAAUAUUCUUUUGUAUGACUUUAUGACUUUUCAGUUAUUCUUAAUAUUUUUACAGUCUUCUAGAAAGAGUGAAUGGUUUUCAGAAAGCAUAAGGUAAGUGUAAAAACCCUUUGAAAUGUGCCAGAGUUGCUUACACAGACAUGAAGCUGUUGAUUCUGAUGGAGAUGGCAACUGAUGAGAAAAUUAACGCACUGUUUAAAAGUAUCUCUGAAAAGUAAAAAGUGGUCAGUUCUUUUGAAAAGGUCUUUACCUUAAGGGAGUAUAAGUACUCCAAAAAUGCACAGAUUCUUUACCAUUUUUCAGUAAGUAUAAAAAUGUCUUAAUACUGAAAAUAAGUUCAAUUCAAAACAAAAUGAAACAAUAAAACAAACAAAAAAACAUUUAUUUUGAACCUU